UACGGCAAUAUCACAUAGAAACAGCAGUUUUCAUACGAUCACCGAAGUUAAGCAACGUCGAUCCUGGUCAGUACCUAGAUGGGUUAACACUUGGGAAUAUCAGGUGCU